UUUUGUGCUUAUCGCGUUCGGAUGUGCGUUCGCGUUUCGUUAUCGAUCUGUUCACUGCACAGUGGCACGUCGCGCUUAGGGAAGUGGUCUUGGUUUGUGCUAAGGGACCUUAGGGAAGCCCAUCAGACAUGAAGCGCGGAAAAAGGAAGAACGCAAAAGGUGUUAUGUACCGCCACUACCCUGAGCCAAAAUCCGUCAACAACGACCCUGCACGUCGUCGCCAAUGUCCAUCUUCGAUGCUAACUUCAACGCGAUCUGUGAAGCUUCGUGGACUCAUCUUUCUCAAGCAAACUUCCUUGCCAAAAAUCUGACUGCGUCGUCAGUCAUGGUUAGCCUUGAUCCUUCCGUGAGCUUCACCAAUAUCUACACCCUAAGAAGAAA